GUAGUCUCAACACAUCAGCACGUAUUGAGUGGUGGCUAGCUGGCUACUUUGUCACGGGCAUUCGAAGAGUCCAUAGUCCAAUGCAACAUGCAAUUAUCCUCAGUUCUCCUGUUUCUUUAUCCAAGGAAGGACAAUCAACCUAGCAACAUAUACCUUGAUUGAUGGUGAGGUGUGGGGCACAAAAUGGCCCAUUCAAAUUGUUCAAGCCGGUACGUCAAACCGGUACCUCUUGGGACCAAAUAUGAAAAAGAUAUUUUAGGUUGUCCGGUACAGGUCAAUGGUCACAGUCCCUGUAAAACAGUAGUAAUCGGGUAUCGGAUUUGAUCUGACAAGUAGUCUGAUAUCAUAACAAAAAAAAUAUAUAAUUAUAGAGUUUAUACACACUGGUUGAGCGACCCU